rnacentral:rRNA from 1 species
GAUGAACGCUGGCGGCGUGCCUAACACAUGCAAGUCGAACGGAGCUUUUAAGAUCGGCGGCUUCGGCCAAAGAACUUUUAAGCUUAGUGGCGGACGGGUGAGUAACGCGUGGGGAACCUGCCUUGUACUGGGGGAUAACAGAGGGAAGCUUCUGCUAAUACCGCAUAAGCGCACAGCAUCGCAUGGUGCAGUGUGAAAAACUCCGGUGGUACAAGAUGGACCCGCGUUGGAUUAGCUGGUUGGCGGGGCAACGGCCCACCAAGGCGACGAUCCAUAGCCGGCCUGAGAGGGUGAUCGGCCACAUUGGGACUGAGAUACGGCCCAGACUCC